UUCCAAUCAGGAGUUAAAAGGAAUUGAAUUGCAGAAACAACUGAUAAAACAACACCUGAGACUGAAAAACUUCUGCAAGAAUUUGCACAUUUUUCCCCUUAUUAAGAUUAUCUCGCGGGUUCUUUGUAACAUGAUGAUUUUUCUCCUUCUUAAUAUGAUUGUUGUUUUUUGUCAUAUCUCAUUCAUGUUUAAUCGAUCUUGUCUAUUUUUUCACCAAUUUAAAUCUGCAUAAAUAAUUAAUCACGAUGAUUAUGAGAGUAAUAAUUAGCAUUCGCAAGCUUCUUCUUCACUGAUGAAAUUGAAAUCUGCCAGUCUUUCUUGAAUAUCAUGCCUCAUGUAAUUUAACUUGUAUAUAGGCUGUUUGUAUAGUGAAAGAAUGGAUGGGGGAACUGUUUUCACUGCCUCUCUACAAGGGAUUCAACAAAUCAAGUCUCGAGAUGGAGAAAUUCUAACCAGACCUUUCUUGGAUGUAUGCAAAACAAUUUUACCUGUUAUCGGUACAGUAUUUAUAUAACCUGCAAAUUUCUAUUUGUUAUCUCUGCAGUAAUUAUACAUAAUUUAUAUGAUUUCAGAUAGCUUUGUAUCGGCCAUGUCCUUUGCAAAAUCUGAUAUUGGUGGCAACAUAUCCGUAUGAUGAUCUUUCCCUGCUGCUACCUUAAAGAAAAAUGAAUUAAUUAAUUUCAAAGAUUAGCUCCAAUCCAUCUUCUUUUUUCUUGUAAAGAAACUGAUGGCUUUACAGUCUUCUUUAUCUUGUUGAAGAGAUUGGAGAAUAAGUAUUCAUCCAACCCAUCAGAAUUCAAUCUCUUGUACAGUAUAGUACGGUCAGAGAUUGAUUCUAAAACGGCAAGAGGCUCAUCCAGUUGCACAAAUUGAGGAAUUAUCACGUUUGGAGGUAUCUUUUGCUUCAUUUCUUGGCUGCUCCAGGGCCAUGGACUUCUUGGUGGAACUGUUUCGCAACUUAUUGGCUCAUCCAGAUUGGAGGAUGACACAAGUUUGCAGUUAUUCAUACAUCAAGACCCUGAAGAAAUGGCAUAACUGGCUAGCCAGUUCACGUUUUUCAAUUUAUAUGAAAUACAGGUUGCCUCGAAGCUUGCUCCAGACAGGAAGAAAUUUAUGGAUGUAAUUAGUGGCAAAGGUGAUGUUAAUGCUGACGUGGAAAAGUUCUGCACUAACUUUUCACCUUUUCUGGAUGAGAAUUACAAGUUCUUGCUGAGAUUCAAUGCCAAGUUUUGAUUCUUGGUUGUGCCCUGCAUGAUAAAAAAGAUUCCUUAGCUUCCGCUCAAUCAAUCAAGUUCCUGAGAAAUGCAGCAAACAGUAUAAAAUCUUAUAUUUCUGUUUCCUUCCUGACUAGUGAUCUUUCAACCUUCUUGCAGGCAAGUGUUGGAGUAGACGACAUGAAAGCUUGAUGAGCUGCUGCCGAUUAAAUCAUUAUUUAUGCCUUUCUUUCUUUCUUCUUCUUCUUUUUAUUGCUUUCAUUUAUUUGUUUGAAUUGGAUUGUAGAAAAGCUUGAUGACUUGGAUUUAUUUGUAUUGGAAAAAUGCCGAUAAUAAUAGACCAAAUUACACCCAAGAAGGCAGGGAAUUCUUA